CAAGAGAAAUUGUUGGAUUUUAAGGAAUCAAGCAAGUAAAGGUGCUGAACCCUCUGAUAAGGGCAAAGAUAUCGUGCCAAAGGACCGAGAAUAAGAAUACUCCUACCACUCCAAACUCCUGCUAUUCUUACUGCAGUGGGCGGGUUUUCAUGGACCAGCCUAU